CCUGACAUGGAAGGCACACAUCCACAUAAAGCCUGCCUAGCCCUCUCGAAAGAUCUUAUCUGACCUCUACGUGUUAACAUGUAUUGAACACGGCUGGUCAGUUACCUGGGAAGAGGUAAUUUGUAUGCUGUUAUUGUAGAACCUAACAUUUCAAAUGACCAAAGCGGGAGUCUUUUGUUUGAGAAGUAACGCUAAGGUGGGGAUGCCUUAUCAAGCCGUUUUAUUUGAACAGUUCAUACCUGAGGAAUUGAUAAGGAAUAUAACAUUGAAAUAAGAAGAUAGGAAACCAAUCAAAAUGAAUACCUACUUAACAAUAUAUAUGUAUAUCCCUAUCAUCCUUUCUUUAUAUUAAAGUAACAUUACCGAUACA